rnacentral:lncRNA from 1 species
CCAUCCGCAUUUCAGCCUGAUCCUCAUUUCAGGCUUGCCCUCAGAGGGCUCCAAACAUGUGCAAGGUACAACUGCUGACUUCUUAAUAUCAAAUAAUACAAUUUGAAUAAAAUAGCCUCUAGAAGAUAAAUUAGUCUUGAAGGAGCGUAAUGAGUUGUUACAGAGUCAGAGGUUCAAAAGGAAGUCAAAAAGGAACAGAAAUGUGGGUCACAAGUCUGUUAUUGAUGAUAAGGAUACCUGCUGACAGAAGGGGGAGGGUAAAAAUGGGACUGGGACUGGAAAACAGAGGAAAACAAUGUAAAAGCGGGACAGGGACGGGGGAAAUGGAGGAUAUAACUAGGACAGUGACAAGGAAUUACCGGGUAAAAACAGGACUGGGACAGGACAGUACACGUGCAUUAUAUUGAUGCACGUGAAUACACAUGUAUUGUCAUCAACAGAAUGGAUGAGUCUCCAGGCAGCAGUUUUGUUGAUUUUUACUGUCAUAACACAAGAAAUGGCUCAAAUAAUGACACCAAAGAUGAUAUUGACAAUAGUACAUGUGACUCAGUUUCCGAUGCCAGUGAUAUUAUUCAACCAAUGAUGGUACAAGUAAAAGAAACAUUAAGUCUCUAUGAAAUUCACGAUUACCUGAGUAAUGCUUCCAAAUAUUAAAAUUUGUGCAGUGAGCCAUUACCACCUGUUCAGCCUAAUGGAGGACCAUAUUAUUGUAUGACUUGGGAAUAAAUGAAUCUGAAUGGGAUUUAAAGAAAAAAAAAUAAGAUGUAAUCAGUACAGAUGGGUUCGCAAGUUCCAUGCCCUUUAAAGCAACAGAAACUUCCAUGGAUAUAUAAGAGUGCAGUUGUUGACGUAAAAUCAGAGGAAAAGAAAGAAAUUCUGAACAUCGAAAUGUCAAAAAGAGCUCAAAAUCAUUUAUUCGAUCUGCUCCAUAUGUGAAAGAAAAGUACUUACGAAAAAGUUUUGAAAUCUGCAAUUCAACUUAUGAUCAAUGGACGUAUGGAGGAAGGAAAAGUACCAACAUGCAUAGUCGGCUGUAACAACUUCAGGUAAUGACAAUUUUGACUGCUAUGGCCAUGAGUUUGACAAAAUUUUAUACCUAUUGUGACUUGUUUGGAGAAUUAACUUAAGAAAGAAAUGCAGUGCAUGAUCAUGCCCACGCAAUGGGAAAGUAGAAGAGAUAAGUUACUGCCAUUACAGUUUCAAUUCAGCAAAUCGCUUCAAUGAGCAAGGCAGAGAGCAGUUUGUAGAGAUAGGAGAAGUAUGUGGAGUCUGUUGUGCUUAGUUCAGUGAUCGUAACGAUCCCCCUAUAGAUGCAAUUUAUAGAUUAAAUGAAUGCAACAAUAUUGAGUCAGAUGAAGAUAAGCCUAUAACGGAAUAUUUUGAGUGUGCUGGAACACCUAUUACAAAGGCUUUUUGCUUCACUGAUAAGACACUGGAUGGUUUCAUUCAAUAUUUCUUAGUUGUCAGGUCUAGAGUGUAAACAGCUUCCAAGGAGUAAUGUGAUAUUUGGACAACUGUAUAGAUUAGGAGGUUUUUUGCUGCACUCAGGUAAUCACUACAUUGCUGUUGUAUUUUGGCAUGGUAAAGAAAUGUUCUAUGAUGGACUGGGCUCAACAAAGGAACAGGCUACAAAUUCUGAAAAAUUGUCACUUGAGUUCUAAAUGUGGUUCUUAUGCAUAUUACUUUAUUGUUGCUAAACAAUGAUAACUUUGAAUUCGUGUUUUAAUAGUUUACUUGCCUAAUUAGCUUAGUCCUACUAGUUAUGGCAUGUAAAGUUCCAAAUGUGCAUUAGUUCUAUGAUGUCAGUCAAAUUCUACCCUAUCACUUGUUACUAGUAAAUUUUUUGAUAUUAAAUAAUAAUAGCAAAGUUAAAUGAAAUAUUAAACAGUGGACAUAAAUGUUACGGACUAUAAUUUGAUGUAAGAGCCAGAGGGAAAGAGAGAAUUUCUGGGGAGAAAGAAUGAUAAUUUUAGUAAUUCCCAGUCCUGUUUUUACCCUGUAUUUCCCCGUCCCUGUCCCGGUUAUAUCCUCCAUUUCCCCCGUUUCUGUCCUGGUUUUACAUUGUUUUUCUCUGUCCCCAUCCUGCUUUAACCCUCUGUUUCCCUGUCCCGAUCCCAGUCCCGUUUUUAGCCACACCCCUGACAGGAUUCAGUGGCAGACAAAUGUCAAUCAUGGCUGUGGCUUAGUACUGUGAUGUUCUCUGGAAAAUCAGUUCUGGAACAGAAAAAGCCUUUCUUUGUCUCCUGGUCAAUGACUAAAGCUAGUGAGUUUGCCUCUUGAUGAGCAACAAGUUAAGAAAUGGAGUACAUACUUCUAUGGAUCUUGGAAAAGUACUUCUACUUCAUCUGCAAGUGAUGCUUGUAACAGCCACGGAGCAUUCUUAUUACUAUCAUUAUGUAAUUAUACAAUUUUAUUCAAUUUUGCAUUAGUAAACAUGCUGUUUUGAUCUGAUAAGAAAAUGCAUUUAAUAAUUUCAAGAAUGAAGAAAAACAAAACAAAUUAAUGA